UCUUCUUCUCGUUACCGUGAACCACCUAUUUCAUCCUCUCAAUCUUCAACCUCUCAUUUUCAUUCAUUUUUUCAAAUCAGUUAAACCCAAAAGCUUUAUAAAGCUCUUUAAACCCAUUUUCAAACCUUGCAUGUCUCAAUUUGUAACUAACCAGUUUCAAUCAAAGUAGCGAAGGAUAAUAACCCACAAACGAAAUAGAGUCAAAGUGGCAGUACAAAAAAAAGGGAGCUCAACAACCAAUUUAAUCAGAACAUCGUCUUCUCCCUUAUACGUGAGUUCUUUUUAUUAAAGGUUUUUUUUGUUAUGAUUAGGGAUUUAAUUUUCUGAAGUUGUUUAGAAGAAAAUAGGAAUGGGAGAAAACAACUCACAGAUUAACCUAUAGGGAUUUAAUUGAAAAUAAGUUAGAACCUGCAUGCUGUUGUACAUGGUUCUGAUGUUGGUGAAUGAAUUAUAUAUUAGGAAAAAUUUAAUUAUAUGUGCAUCACUGCUGUUGUUGUGUCUGAUGUGUUUGUGAAUUUGUGUUAUGUUACGUUAAUUUCUUUUAGAAUGUGAUUUUAGGCGCUGAAAUUUUUGAAUAAACUGUUUUGAGUUAUUACGAAUUAGGAGAAUUAGAGUGUGAUGAAAUAAAUUUUUUGCAUAUAGGUGUUUUUUUUAAAACUGCAUCCAAAUGAUUUUUUCAUGACUUUUAUGUUAUUAAUUUCAUAACUUUUAUAUUUUUACUAUUUUUGAUGACUUUGAUGUUGUUACUAUUUUCAUGACUCCAAUAUUGUUUCUAUUUUCUGACUAUGAAUUUACAUUUUGAAUUAAGGACUUAAGAUUAAAUUAUUAUGAGUUUAGUAUAUCGCCUAAGUUAUUUAUAAUUGUUGUGGAUGAAUGAUGCAUUUUAUAUAUGACAUAAUAAGUGCAUUUUAUACAAAAUAUUUCAAGUUUUGUACAAUAUCAUUAAUUAGAUCAUGCAUGACCUUAUUCACGGUGGGACAUUUAGAUUAUUCCAGACAUGGAAUAACAGGUAAAGGAGAACAAUCAUGACACUGAUUGGGGUUUGGUCAGACCACCUUUACCAAUUAGGACUCAAUUAUCUUAGUGACCCACAUUAAGAUAUUGAGCGACUUUUCCUUAUUCCAACGGAAAACAUUUGAGGUCAUGCAUAUGUUUUCAGAAUAAUAUAUAUAUAGACAUGUAUAAUAGUAAUAAUUUUUUUCUUGAGAUGUAUAAUUAUUAUUUUUUUCUUCAUGUUUUAUACACUUUUAUGAAAGAAACUAUUUGAGACUGUUUUUUUCUUUAUUUUUAGAGCUCACUGAGAUAUUUUAUCUCAUCCCAAUUAUUAUUUUUUAUUUAGCAGCUGGAGGAACAUGAGACAUGAAAUUAGCAUCAGAAGAUCAGUUCCAAACUCGUUGAAUUAGAAUUUAAUAUUUUGUUUUAUGAGGUAAUCAGUCAAUCGUAGUUGUUUUCAAAAUGUAAUAUUUUAUGAAUCUACUAAACAAG
rnacentral:lncRNA from 1 species